rnacentral:rRNA from 1 species
GAACGGGUUAGUGGCGCACGGGUGAGUAACACGUAGGUGACCUACCCCAGAGUGGGGGAUAACUUCUCGAAAGAGAGGCUAAUACCGCAUACACUCGGUCAUUCAUUUGGCCGAGCAAAGCUCCGGCGCUUUGGGACGGGCCUGCGUCCGAUUAGCUAGUUGGUAGGGUAAUGGCUUACCAAGGCUUUGAUCGGUAGCUGGUCUGAGAGGACGAUCAGCCACACUGGCACUGACACACGGGCCAGACUCCUACGGGAGGCAGCAGUGAGGAAUAUUGGGCAAUGGGCGAAAGCCUGACCCAGCAACGCCGCGUGAGGGAUGAAGGCCUUCGGGUUGUAAACCUCUUUUCUGGGAGAAGAGACAAGGACGGUAUCCCAGGAAUAAGUCUCGGCUAACUACGUGCCAGCAGCCGCGGUAAUACGUAGGAGGCAAGCGUUAUCCGGAUUCACUGGGCGUAAAGCGCACGCAGGCGGUUAUGUAAGUCGGACGUGAAAGCUCCUGGCUCAACUGGGAGAGGUCGUUCGAUACUGCAUAGCUUGAGGUUGGGAGAGGGAAGCGGAAUUCCCGGUGUAGUGGUGGAAUGCGUAGAUAUCGGGAGGAACACCAGUGGCGAAAGCGGCUUCCUGGCCCAUACCUGACGCUCAGGUGCGAAAGCGUGGGGAGCGAACGGGAUUAGAUACCCCGGUAGUCCACGCUGUAAACGAUGCGAACUAGGUGUUGGUAGUAUUAAUCCUAUCAGUGCCGUAGCUAACGCGAUAAGUUCGCCGCCUGGGGACUACGGCCGCAAGGCUAAAACUCAAAGGAAUUGACG